CAAGAUCACUCUUGCCAAGCGCUGGGGCCUCCCAGGCUUGGGAAGGGUCGGCUGCCACCUCAUUCCACUCGAAGACUCCCUAAACGAGCAGCUAGAUCUCCACGUCGGUCGGCUCUGCCGGACACAAACCCGGGUUGAGACACACGUGCUAAGAGUCGCCGCCUACACAUGCGCAAUAGCCUUCCCUCGCUCACUCUGAGGUCCUGGAACUACAAAUCCCGUCUUGCUGCGCGCCGCCUGGCGGCGCUUACCGGCCCUGGCUGAGACUCAAAAGCUGGGGGUCUGGGAGCUCCCGCUCCCACCGCGGAGGUGGGCGUUGUGCCGAAGUUUCCAGCGGCCCUGCGCAACCCUCUGUGGAGAGGGAGUCAGGCAGAAUACAGUGGCCCGUGCUGCCUGAAUGGUCCACUGGAUGGGCCCUCGCGUGAUGGCGGAAGUCUUUCUUCCUCUCCCCAACUGGUGGAUUUGAGUCCCGAAUCCAGACUUUCCCCUCGUAUUUCGUAAGCACCUACUGCCUGUCAGGAUGUUUCCAAAUGUAAUUCUCACAACAGCCCUGUGUAGGGCAAGCUUACUUCAAUGCAACCAGAAGCGCUCAGUGCAAAAAAGAAACUCAAGCAGCUGAUGCCCAACUGUGAAUCUGAGAUGGGAGACAAACACCUCUCAGUUUACAACAGCCUCCCUGCCUGAGCAUCUCCUCCCGCUGUGCCCGCGUUUAAAGGUCAGCCUGUCUCAAACACAGCCCCCAAAUACAGGCCAACUGCUUCACCCGGAAAAGCAAUGACAGCUGUUUUAAAUAAUGUCAGGGUUAACGUUCACUGUAUGAACAUUGCCCUUGCUUUAGAACUUGACUCUAGAGAUGCUUCUGUAAUUCACCCCUAUUUUAUAGAUGAGGAACCUGAACCACAGAAAGGCUAAGUGACUUACCCAAGAUCACACAGCUAACAGGCACCAGAAUAGUUUGAAGCCAGGGCUGUGUGACUCACCAAAACCUGAAUUUGAUUCUCCUCCAGCUUCAGACUUUCCCCAGGUCAGGGCUGGUGAGCGCCAUGAAGUGGGGCACCUGGACUCCAUCGGCUCCUCCUGCCUAACAGUCGCAAAUAGAGGCUGAGCUGCAGCAGGGGUGACCUACUUCUCCCACUUGUGUUUCUUUUUAAAGAUCCAGCGGCUGCCGGAGGCUUUGAGAGGGAGGAGGUGGCUCCAUUGGCUUGUCUGUGCCCUCCCCCACACUACAUCCCAAGGCUAGUCGCACCUAGGCCAGCUCAGCAUCCCCAAAAUAGGAGGGAGAGAUCUUUGAACUGAUGUGGAAAAUAAACCAGCCCAGCCUUACUGUGUGUUGGCAGGAAGUGAGAGGGGCAGGUCUCCUGUUCUGAAGCCUGCUUGCUCGCUCUCCGAUGAGCCAGGCACGGUUUUGGUGUGGGGGCUUUGUACCUGCUGUUCCUUCGGCCUGGAACACUUCCAAGGACCAUCUUCACUGCCUGUCCCACCUCCUUCAGGACUUGGCAUAAAUGUCCCCUUCUCAGGGAGGCCAUCCCUGACCAAUUUAAAAUCACCAUCUCUCCAAUGUCAUCUUGGUCCCCCUUUCAUGUUUUAUUUCCUCCCCAUAGAAUGUAUAACCAUCUGAUGUGUUCUGUUCUAUUUCCUUUCCUGUCUGUCUCCCCCGACUAGAACGUUAGCUCCCCCAGGACAGGGAGUUUUGUGCCUUUGGGUGCUUGGUAUUGGGAACACCCCACCCCAACCCACAGACUGGAGCCAGCAGUCUGAGGCCCAGUGGGUGCUACUUCAGCCCUCCACACGUCCCAGGUGCCCUGGGGUGACCGCUGUGAUCCUCCGCAUCGUGGUCCUCCCCUGAUUGAAGGGGACACGGGAGCCUGGCUCUGGGAUGGCCAGGAGUGCUGAGCUGCUUGGCAUUCACGCCUGACAAGUCCUGGGAGGUGGGCCCAGAUGUUGCUCCAGGUGGAGCAGGUUUGAGAAGGGGUCAGGAGGCAGGGACAUCUUAAAAUAUUUGUGGGCUCGGUGGAGAGCAGCAGGUUCCGGCUCCACCGGGAUGAGCAGUGGGGCCAGGAGGGCACAGAAAUGCAAGGCGCAUGAGAAAGGACAUUAGGGGAGUCACUUUCCUUAGGACACCCUAUCCCUUGACACAUCAACCAUCACGUUUGCAAGGUGAGACAAACAGGCCCCUUUGUGCUCCUUCUCCUGAUCACAUAUACAACCCCAGACUCCCUGGAAGGGCUGAACGUAGCUGGCAGGACAGACAGCCCUUCCCCGGUGUGGAGCAGCCCACCAGAAGCCAGAUCCCAGACCUGCUCACCUCCUCUGCUGCCAACAGCCCAUAACCUCCCCUCCCCUGAUGAUGCUGGGGCCUCCUCUGUCCUUCAGGUUCCACCCCAGCCUCCCUUCAGCCAGGAGAUCCUGUUAAGAUAUCAAGCACACUAUGUUGCUCCUUAGCUCAAAACCCCUCAAAGGCUUCUUCUCGCUAAGAAUGGAGUCCCACAUUCUCACCCAGCACACAAGGCUCUGUAGGUAAUCCACACACCUCCUCCCUCACUCGGCUCCAUUGGAUGGGUCUCCUCGAAGCUCGCCCCCAGGCCAGGCACUCUCCAGCCUGUCGUUACACUGGCUGGCCCCUCACCCUGGGACAUACUCCUUCGCCUUCCUCAGGUCUCUGAUCAGAUGUCAACAAAAACAGACACCCUCCCAGCAGCCUCUACCCUGUACUUCUUUGCAGUCACCUCCCAAAAUGGCUUCCCCUUUUUGUGUUUCUGUUUCCUUCGCAGAAGGGGGCACAGGGGGCAUGCGUGGUCUGUUCUGUUCGCUGCCAUGGCCCCAGGGCCCAGAGAGCACAGCAGGGGCUCAGUAAGGGUCUGCUCAACGAACAGACGAACAGCUCUCUGUGAAGACACCGCACACGAGGAGCAACAGUGGGGGUGCAGUCCGGGGAUAUGGGUCCUGAGGAGAGGCUAGGCCUACAGAAGGGGACGCGCCCCUGUCCUCCCCAUGCCCCCACAGCCCCGUCGCUGGGGCAGACCCAGGCUUUGGUGGGUGCAGUGGCAGCCAACGGGGGAGGGCUUACGUUGGAGAGAGCAAAGAAGGCAGACCCAGCACACAGCUCCAGCACUAAGUCAAGUUCUUUACUUCCCAGAAGUGAUGGCUAAGGGGAGGAAGGGGAGGGAGGGGAGGGCGAGAAGAGGAAGACAGAA